UACGAAGGGGGCUAGCGUUGCUCGGAAUCACUGGGCGUAAAGGGUGCGUAGGCGGGUCUUUUAAGUCAGGGGUGAAAUCCUGGAGCUCAACUCCAGAACUGCCUUUGAUACUGAGGAUCUUGAGUUCGGGAGAGGUGAGUGGAACUGCGAGUGUAGAGGUGAAAUUCGUAGAUAUUCGCAAGAACACCAGUGGCGAAGGCGGCGCUCUGGACCGAGACUGACGCUGAGGCGCGAAAGCGUGGGGAGCAAACAGG
rnacentral:rRNA from 1 species